CUUUCUUUCUUUCUUUUUCUUUUUGAAAAUUCACGCAUGCAUGUCAAAAUGAGGAUUUAUUUUGUUUGGACCUGGCUGUAAUGCACGUGGUUCGCAGCUGACUUUUGGAUUCAUAAUGGUCACAAAUCUCUUUCUUUUCCUCUACGUUCUUUCUCGCCGGUUCUCAGAGCUUUUUUAGCGGCAACACUGUAGAACAAUUAAUAGCAGAGCCUAAAUGGAGCUACAAUGAGUUAUAGACUUAUAUAUAGCUGUUAAAUUAGAUAGACCCAAAUAGCAGUCUCUGCCCUGAAAAGGCUAUUUAGAGAAUGAAUUGCAUCAACAUAACUUGUUAGAGUAAUAAACUGCUUCCCGCUCGUCUGACUCUCUUAUUAUCUUCGCUUUCCACAAUCUAUAACACCCCAUCUCUUUACCCACACAUUCAUCUCUACUGCUAGAAAGGUUUUCCUAUGCAUUUUCUCUAUGUCAUCUCAGACUCUCCUACCCUAACCUGGACUCUCUCUCCAUCAUGCCCAAAAGUUGGCUAGAGACGGAGGGGGUACGUAAAGGUUUUUGAGAAGCGCUUCACGCGACUACUACUACAGCUCGUCAUCUAUCCUCUACAUCGGCCGGUCACACGGCUUCGUCGUCUUCCCCAUUUCAUGCGAGUCGUUAGAAUUAUGGUUUAUCCAUCUACAAAAGUUUAGUAAUAUGUGCGCCGCGCUUUGAUCCAAUCUUUAACCCUAUUAUCUGAUAUAUCAUGGUUAUGAUAUCCAUGUACCUAGUAUAUUGGAGAAUUUCA
rnacentral:lncRNA from 1 species